rnacentral:rRNA from 1 species
GAUGAACGCUAGCGGCAGGCCUAAUACAUGCAAGUCGAGGGAUAGUAUUGUAGCAAUAUGAUAUGAAACCGGCGCACGGGUGCGUAACACGUAUGCAACCUACCUUUCACUGGGGAAUAGCUCCGAGAAAUCGGAAUUAAUACCCCAUAACAUUACGACCUGACAUCAGGAUGUAAUUAAAGCUCCGGCGGUGAUUGAUGGGCAUGCGUUGCAUUAGCUAGUUGGUGAGGUAAAGGCUCACCAAGGCUACGAUGCAUAGGGGGUCUGAGAGGAUGAUCCCCCANACUGGUACUGAGACACGGACCAGACUCC